rnacentral:rRNA from 1 species
AACUUGACGCAUGUCUUUGUUUGGGAAAGUGUUUAGUGGCAUGGGAUGGGGUCGCGUCCUAUCAGCUUGUAGGCGGGGUAAUGGCCCACCUAGGCUUCGACGGGUAGCCGGCCUGAGAGGGCGGACGGCCACAUUGGGACUGAGAUACGGCCCAGACUCCUACGGGAGGCAGCAGUGGGGAAUAUUGCGCAAUGGGGGAAACCCUGACGCAGCGACGCCGCGUGCGGGAUGAAGGCCUUCGGGUUGUAAACCGCUUUUGAUUGGGAGCAAGCCUUUGGGUGAGUGUACCUUUCGAAUAAGCGCCGGCUAACUACGUGCCAGCAGCCGCGGUAAAU